UUCUGGACAUCAGCAGACCCAAAGAUGAGCUGAUUGUUGAAACGUCUUCUGGAUGCAUCACGCGGGCAGAUUUUUGGACACUGGGUUUAAACAAACAAAUGGAAUCGACUAUUGGAAAUGGCUGUUUUGAGCUUAUCACUAAAAUUGUUCAGUCAAAGGGGAUAAGCAUUUACAUAGAAAAUCUGUAUGUCACCCGGACUUGGCUUGCACCCUAUGGCUGUGAUCCAUUGCAGUCCUUUCCUACUGAUGCUCAGAGGAUGGACAUCAUAGUUCUCCCUCUCUGGACACCUGGUCAUUUCCAGUUGUGUGAAUCUUGCAGUGAAGCUCAUUCCCGGGCAGUGGUCAGAAAAAAAGAGCUUUGACUUGAAGGGUUUUCCAAGCCAAGACUAUGGAGUUGACUGUGGGAUCUUCAUGCUGAUGUCUGCUCUGUACGUGGCACUGGAUGCACCAUUUGACUAUACUAUAUCAGACAUGCCCUA